UUUUGGUCAAUGUUGGUGGAAAGUUGAAGUUUGCGACCAAAGUUGAUGUUUUCGGUCAAAGUUGAUGUUUUUGGUCAAUGUUGGUGGAAACUUGAAGUUUGCGACCAAAGUUGAUGUUUUCGGUCAAAGUUGAUGUUUUUGGUCAAUGUUUGUGGAAACUUGAAGUUUGCGACCAAAGUUGAUGUUUUCGGUCAAAGUUGAUGUUUUUGGUCAAUGUUGGUGGAAACUUGAAGUUUGCGACCAAAGUUGAUGUUUUCGGUCAAAGUUGAUGUUUUUGGUCAAUGUUGGUGGAAAGUUGAAGUUUGCGACCAAAGUUGAUGUUUUCGGUCAAAGUUGUUGUUUUUGGUCAAUGUUGGUGGAAACUUGAAGUUUGCCACCAAAUUUGAUGUUUUCGGUCAAAGUUGAUGUUUUUGGUCAAUGUUGGUGGAAACUUGAAGUUUGCGACCAAAGUUGAUGUUUUCGGUCAAAGUUGAUGUUUUUGGUCAAUGUUGGUGGAAACUUGAAGUUUACAACCAAAGUUGAUGUUUUCGGUCAAAGUUGAUGUUUUUGGUCAAUGUUGGUGGAAACUUGAAGUUUGCCACCAAAGUUGAUGUUUUCGGUCAAAGUUGAUGUUUUUGGUCAAUGUUGGUGGAAACUUGAAGUUUACAACCAAAGUUGAUGUUUUCGGUCAAAGUUGAUGUUUUUGGUCAAUGUUGGUGGAAACUUGAAGUUUGCGACCAAAGUUGAUGUUUUCGGUCAAAGUUGAUGUUUUUGGUCAAUGUUGGUGGAAACUUGAAGUUUACAACCAAAGUUGAUGUUUUCGGUCAAAGUUGAUGUUUUUGGUCAAUGUUGGUGGAAACUUGAAGUUUGCGACCAAAGUUUAUGUUUUCGGUCAAAGUUGAUGUUUUGGUCAAUGUUGGUGGAAACUUGAAGUUUGCGACCAAAGUUGAUGUUUUCGGUCAAAGUUGAUGUUUUUGGUCAAUGUUGGUGGAAACUUGAAGUUUGCGACCAAAGUUGAUGUUUUCGGUCAAUGUUGAUGUUUUUGGUCAAUGUUGGUGGAAACUUGAAGUUUGCGACCAAAGUUGAUGUUUUCGGUCAAAGUUGAUGUUUUUGGUCAAUGUUGGUGGAAAGUUGAAGUUUGCGACCAAAGUUGAUGUUUUCGGUCAAAGUUGUUGUUUUUGGUCAAUGUUGGUGGAAACUUGAAGUUUGCCACCAAAUUUGAUGUUUUCGGUCAAAGUUGAUGUUUUUGGUCAAUGUUGGUGGAAACUUGAAGUUUGCGACCAAAGUUGAUGUGUUCGGUCAAAGUUGAUGUUUUUGGUCAAUGUUGGUGGAAACUUGAAGUUUACAACCAAAGUUGAUGUUUUCGGUCAAAGUUGAUGUUUUUGGUCAAUGUUGGUGGAAACUUGAAGUUUGCCACCAAAGUUGAUGUUUUCGGUCAAAGUUGAUGUUUUUGGUCAAUGUUGGUGGAAACUUGAAGUUUACAACCAAAGUUGAUGUUUUCGGUCAAAGUUGAUGUUUUUGGUCAAUGUUGGUGGAAACUUGAAGUUUGCGACCAAAGUUGAUGUUUUCGGUCAAAGUUGAUGUUUUUGGUCAAUGUUGGUGGAAACUUGAAGUUUGCGACCAAAGUUGAUGUUUUCGGUCAAAGUUGAUGUUUUUGGUCAAUGUUGGUGGAAACUUGAAGUUUGCGACCAAAGUUGAUGUUUUCGGUCAAAGUUGAUGUUUUUGGUCAAUGUUGGUGGAAACUUGAAGUUUGUCACCAAAUUUGAUGUUUUCGGUCAAAGUUGUUGUUUUUGGUCAAUGUUGGUGGAAACUUGAAGUUUGCGACCAAAGUUGAUGUUUUCGGUCAAAGUUGUUGUUUUUGGUCAAUGUUGGUGGAAACUUGAAGUUUGCGACCAAAGUUGAUGUUUUCGGUCAAAGUUGAUGUUUUUGGUCAAAGUUGGUGGAAACUUGAAGUUUGCGACCAAAGUUGAUGUUUUCGGUCAAUGUUGAUGUUUUUGGUCAAUGUUGGUGGAAACUUGAAGUUUGCGACCAAAGUUGAUGUUUUCGGUCAAAGUUGAUGUUUUUGGUCAAUGUUGGUGGAAACUUGAAGUUUGCGACCAAAGUUGAUGUUUUCGGUCAAAGUUGAUGUUUUUGGUCAAUGUUGGUGGAAACUUGAAGUUUGCGACCAAAGUUGAUGUUUUCGGUGAAAGUUGAUGUUUUUGGUCAAUGUUGGUGGAAACUUGAAGUUUACAACCAAAGUUGAUGUUUUCGGUCAAAGUUGAUGUUUUUGGUCAAUGUUGGUGGAAACUUGAAGUUUGCGACCAAAGUUGAUGUUUUCGGUCAAAGUUGAUGUUUUUGGUCAAUGUUGGUGGAAACUUGAAGUUUGCGACCAAAGUUGUUGUUUUCGGUCAAAGUUGAUGUUUUUGGUCAAUGUUGGUGGAAACUUGAAGUUUACAACCAAAGUUGAUGUUUUCGGUCAAAGUUGAUGUUUUUGGUCAAUGUUGGUGGAAACUUGAAGUUUGCGACCAAAGUUUAUGUUUUCGGUCAAAGUUGAUGUUUUGGUCAAUGUUGGUGGAAACUUGAAGUUUGCGACCAAAGUUGAUGUUUUCGGUCAAAGUUGAUGUUUUUGGUCAAUGUUGGUGGAAACUUGAAGUUUGCGACCAAAGUUGAUGUUUUCGGUCAAAGUUGAUGUUUUUGGUCAAUGUUGGUGGAAACUUGAAGUUUGCGACCAAAGUUGAUGUUUUCGGUGAAAGUUGAUGUUUUUGGUCAAUGUUGGUGGAAACUUGAAGUUUACAACCAAAGUUGAUGUUUUCGGUCAAAGUUGAUGUUUUUGGUCAAUGUUGGUGGAAACUUGAAGUUUGCGACCAAAGUUGAUGUUUUCGGUCAAAGUUGAUGUUUUUGGUCAAUGUUGGUGGAAACUUGAAGUUUGCGACCAAAGUUGUUGUUUUCGGUCAAAGUUGAUGUUUUUGGUCAAUGUUGGUGGAAACUUGAAGUUUACAACCAAAGUUGAUGUUUUCGGUCAAAGUUGAUGUUUUUGGUCAAUGUUGGUGGAAACUUGAAGUUUGCGACCAAAGUUGAUGUUUUCGGUCAAAGUUGAUGUUUUGGUCAAUGUUGGUGGAAACUUGAAGUUUGCGACCAAAGUUGAUGUUUUCGGUCAAAGUUGAUGUUUUUGGUCAAUGUUGGUGGAAACUUGAAGUUUGCGACCAAAGUUGAUGUUUUCGGUCAAAGUUGAUGUUUUUGGUCAAUGUUGGUGGAAACUUGAAGUUUGCGACCAAAGUUGAUGUUUUCGGUGAAAGUUGAUGUUUUUGGUCAAUGUUGGUGGAAACUUGAAGUUUACAACCAAAGUUGAUGUUUUCGGUGAAAGUUGAUGUUUUUGGUCAAUGUUGGUGGAAACUUGAAGUUUGCGACCAAAGUUGAUGUUUUCGGUCAAAGUUGAUGUUUUUGGUCAAUGUUGCUGGAAACUUGAAGUUUGCGACCAAAGUUGAUGUUUUCGGUCAAAGUUGAUGUUUUUGGUCAAUGUUGGUGGAAACUUGAAGUUUGCGACCAAAGUUGAUGUUUUCGGUCAAAGUUGAUGUUUUUGGUCAAUGUUGGUGGAAACUUGAAGUUUGCGACCAAAGUUGAUGUUUUCGGUGAAAGUUGAUGUUUUUGGUCAAUGUUGGUGGAAACUUGAAGUUUACAACCAAAGUUGAUGUUUUCGGUGAAAGUUGAUGUUUUUGGUCAAUGUUGGUGGAAACUUGAAGUUUGCGACCAAAGUUGAUGUUUUCGGUCAAAGUUGUUGUUUUUGGUCAAUGUUGGUGGAAACUUGA